ensembl:misc_RNA Metazoa_SRP Metazoan signal recognition particle RNA
UCCAGGCGCAGUGGCAUGUGCCUGUAGUCCCAGCUACUCGGGAGGCUGAGGUGGGAGGAUCGCUUGAGCCCAGGAGUUCUGGGCUGUAGUGCGCUAUGCCGAUCGGGUGUCUGCACUAAGUUUGGCAUCAAUAUGGUGACCUCCUGGGAGCGGGGGACCACCAGGUUGCCUAAGGAGGGGUGAACCGGCCCAGGUCGGAAAUCGAGCAGGUCAAAACUCCUGUGCUGAUCAGUAGUGGGAUUGCACCUGUGAAUAGCCACUGCACUCCAGCCUGGGCAACAUAGCGAAACCCCGUCUCUA